CCCCCCCCCCCCCCCCCCCCCCCCCCCCCCCCCCCCCCCCCCCCCCCCCCCCCCCCCCCCCCCCCCCCCCCCCCCCCCCCCCCCCCCCCCUCGCCCCCACCAGCUGCCCCCUUCCCGGUAGCCAAGGCAGAUUCUUCACCUGGUGCUGCUCCCCGUCCUGGAUAAGGCCGCGUGGUGUGAUGGCAGCCGGUGAUGCAGCCGCUUUGGCGGUGAAGCGAGUAAUGCCGCGUGUAGCAAUAACAUCGCCGGUGGUGCUUGCGGCUCAAGUUUGCCCCUGAAAGAGCAGACGCGCUGUGCUGCCCUCACAGCUCCUGAACACGGAUAGCGAGCGAGGUGGGAUUUAGGAGCCGCUCUAGUGUAACAUCCCACCAAGAACUGCUUGUCCGCCAAGGUAAAUACAUUAAGAUUAGCAAUUAGCACUGGGUUGCUGCCCCAGCAGUAGCUACAGACAACUGCGAGCUCCAAUACAGCCUGCAUGUUCAGCAUAAACACGCUCAGAAACUGCAACUGUGAAAAUUGCCUGUUCUUUAAAAAAAUAAAAUAUUAAGGCACUUGGCAGUUUAUCACGCUAGGAGUCGAUAAUACAAAAUUCACUUUGAUUUCAGUAACUAAGACCAUUCCAUGAAUGUUUUUUUAGGCUGACACAUGAGACUGAUACUGAAAAGACACGAUGAACCAUGGAGUAAAUGACAAUACAGUGCAUUAGGUUGAAACGUAUCUUCAUCAUAUCUUGGUGUAACAAGGUCUUAGCAUCAGCUUCCUUGAUUCACAUUUGUAUUUAAAAGAAAAAUAAAAUCUUAAAAUUUUUUUAGCAAAUUUAUUUUGCUGGAAGAAGAAGAAAGUCCUGGCUGUCAGAAGCACUUCUAGAGAAGUCUCCAGAGGGCAACCUUGCUCUUUAUUUAUAAAAUGAUUCAGCUCCUGCUUAUAACACCAUCAUCUGUGUUGGCAUAUCCGUUGCAGCGACUCUCAGAGUGUAUUACAUCUGGUUAUAAAAAUUUUAAUCAAAUUAAAUAGGCACCAGAAAAAAUACAGAACAUUUCUGUAUUAAUGCAGUCUCAGUUUUCAGUCUUGCACAAUGUGGACAAAAAAUAACUGAGAACAGGACAUGAGGUGUUCUUGCAGGCCCUGGGAGACUGUCUACUGCAAACUAAUUAAUUGCAAGAAUUCAUUAGGUGAUCCUGACUAUUCAAACUUUCACCUAAAGGUUAUAUGAUAAUCAGUGAUGCAGCUUAUUGGUGUCAUCUUGUGUACAGACAGCCCUAUAUGCUGCUUUGCAUAAUUACAAGUGCCAUGCAAUUAAAAUCUAAACUAGGCUAAAUGACACCAAAUUAUCACAGUUGGCAGAUCUGAACCCUUGGAUAUGUAUUUUAAAAAUGUAUUUUUGAGGAUAACUCUGCAGCUCUCAUCCAGGCAUUACUAAUUAGAGUGUUUGAUAAGCAGGUAACAUUUUUAUUGCUCAUUUCCUGUGACUAAAAGUC
rnacentral:lncRNA from 1 species